rnacentral:rRNA from 1 species
AGUAAAGUGGCGUACGGGUGAGUAACACGUGGAUCAUCUACCUCUUGGCGGGGAAUAACCCUGGGAAACCGGGGCUAAUACCGCAUAAGCCUGCAAAGGGAAAGCGACGUCUUAAAAACGACGCACCGAGAGAGGAGUCCGCGGCCGAUUAGCUUGUUGGUAGGGUAAUGGCCUACCAAGGCAAUGAUCGGUAGCCGGCCUGAGAGGGCACACGGCCACACUGGCACUGAAACACGGGCCAG